UGAAGCAGGACUUCUGAUCGAGAUUCGUGGGCUCGUGUGGACGACUCCUAUAGGCCGGAUGCGUGUGUGGCUUGCAACAUCAUCCUUAAGCCCGGAUCAGCGAGGUUAGAGCAUCUAACUUGCAAGGUAAUAGAUCUGAUCUAUUGUUUAAUACAUACAUUAGAUGUAGUAUAGAAACAUGUUGAUAUGAUCAACAUGUAGUUUAUGCUAUAUUUAUAUAUUUUAAUUUUUGAUUUAAUGCUAUAUAAUAAUCA
rnacentral:lncRNA from 1 species